rnacentral:rRNA from 1 species
AGAGUUUGAUCCUGGCUCAGGAUGAACGCUAGCGACAGGCCUAACACAUGCAAGUCGAGGGGCAGCGGGGAGGUAGCAAUACCUUUGCCGGCGACCGGCGCACGGGUGAGUAACACGUAUGCAAUCCACCUGUAACAGGGGGAUAACCCGGAGAAAUCCGGACUAAUACCCCAUGAUAUGGGUUCUCCGCAUGGAGGGUCCAUUAAAGAGAGCAAUCUUGGUUACAGACGAGCAUGCGCUCCAUUAGCCAGUUGGCGGGGUAACGGCCCACCAAGGCGACGAUGGAUAGGGGUUCUGAGAGGAAGGUCCCCCACAUUGGAACUGAGACACGGUCCAAACUCCUACGGGAGGCAGCAGUGAGGAAUAUUGGUCAAUGGGCGAGAGCCUGAACCAGCCAAGUAGCGUGAAGGAUGAAGGUCCUACGGAUUGUAAACUUCUUUUAUACGGGAAUAAAGUUUCCUACGUGUAGGAUUUUGUAUGUACCGUAUGAAUAAGCAUCGGCUAACUCCGUGCCAGCAGCCGCGGUAAUACGGAGGAUGCGAGCGUUAUCCGGAUUUAUUGGGUUUAAAGGGUGCGUAGGUGGUGAUUUAAGUCAGCGGUGAAAGUUUGUGGCUCAACCAUAAAAUUGCCGUUGAAACUGGGUUACUUGAGUGUGUUUGAGGUAGGCGGAAUGCGUGGUGUAGCGGUGAAAUGCAUAGAUAUCACGCAGAACUCCGAUUGCGAAGGCAGCUUACUAAACCAUAACUGACACUGAAGCACGAAAGCGUGGGGAUCAAACAGGAUUAGAUACCCUGGUAGUCCACGCAGUAAACGAUGAAUACUAACUGUUUGCGAUACAAUGUAAGCGGUACAGCGAAAGCGUUAAGUAUUCCACCUGGGGAGUACGCCGGCAACGGUGAAACUCAAAGGAAUUGACGGGGGCCCG